UUAAGUUCAGGCGGUAGCCCUACCUGAUCUGAGGUCAAGUCGGAUAUUUAAGUCCGGAAGCGGUCAGUCCUAGUGGAUCACGUCCGCUCCUUAGACCGAUGACUUUGAGGCUACGCCCAGGGGCGAAGUCCAAGACAGACCCACUGGGGGACUAUGGUUUAAAUGACGCUCAGACAGGCAUGCCUCCCAAUGACGGGAGG
rnacentral:misc_RNA from 1 species